rnacentral:rRNA from 1 species
GAUGAACGCUGGCGGCGUGCCUAAUACAUGCAAGUCGAGCGAACGGACGAUAAGCUUGCUUCUCUGAUGUUAGCGGCUGACGGGUGAGUAACACGUGCAUAACCUACCUAUUUUACUUGGAUAACUUCGUGAAACCGCAUCUACUACCGGAUAAUAUUUUGUACCGCAUGGUUCAAAAGUUCAUGACGGUCUUUCUGUCUCUUAUAGAUGGAUCCUCGCUGGAUUAGCUAGUUGGUAAGGUAACGGCUUACCAAGGCUACGAUGCAUAUCCGACCUGAGAGGGUGAUCGGCCACACUGGAACGGAGACACGGUACAGACUCCUACGGGAGGAAGCAGUAGGGAAUAUUCGACAAUGGGCGAAAGCCUGACGGAGCAACGCCGCGUGAGUGAUGAAGGUCUUCGGAUCGUAAAACUCUGUUAUUAGGGAAGAAAAGAAGUGGAAGUAAAUGUGGACAUCUUGACGGUACCUAAUCAGAAAGCAACGGCUAACUACGUG